UAAGACAAAGACUUAAAAGUAUAAUAAAUACGCCUAUGUUAUAUUUUACAAUAUAUAUAUAUAUAUGUACGAGCGUGUACCUAUACACGUGUACUUAUACAUGUCCUGUUACACACGUUUACUAUUCGUAACCGCACUUGUACAUGAUAUAGGUACCAUUAGACGGCUACCGCAGUUGCAAUAAUUAAAUUACCGACAUUACUAUUUCAUCGUCGUAAUUGUAAAGUUUUCGAUUUUUGAGAGUCUAAAAAUCUUCGGUCGUCGAGGAACACCGUAAAGUAGGAGAAGAUUUUCUGUUCCUCUCUUUCUUUCGCUCUUGGAUUUACUUAAGUAUCCGUAACGAAUCAUAUCUGUACGAUCAUCAUUGAAUAUAAUUUUCGAUCUUGGAGAUUUCUCAAUAAUUCUUCCGAGGGGAUUAACUAUACCUACUUAUUCUCCGACUCGCCAUCACUUUGGAUAUAUUCCGGAUAAAACAUGUUUCGUUAAUUGAAUUUCACCACAUCGACAACAACGGUAUUCCUCAUCUUUCAUUUUCUAUCAUUUUUGAUAAAAUGAAAAAAACAAAAAUUAAUUCUACUGUAUAUUAUAAUCGUCAAAUUUAUCGUUUGUUUCGACUACUGUACGAAACAUGAAUGAACAAAAAACUCGACCAAGUUCAUGUUCAAUUCCAAAAUUUUAUCAUUACAAAAAAAUAUCAGAUGCAACGGACUAAAAAAUAGAAAGAUUAGGGCAUGGAUUUUCGAAUCAUUAGAAUCACAAGCGAAUCAAAUGUAAUAAUGGUAAUAAUUAUACGAUCGGGCAUGAUUAAUUGUACUUUGGAAAAAUGUGCAUGCACAUCUCAUAUUCCCACAUACGCAUGAAGAUUACUUACGCGUGGGUAGAAUUAUAAUAACUAAUGAUUUUUGUUAAAAUGUGAAAAGAAAAUAGCGAGAAAAUAGAGGCGCUCAUAUGUAUGACGAUUACGACGAGGGUGCAGCAGAGACUGAAUUAAUUUCCCGUACAGAAAUACAUAACUGAAUAACCUGCUGUUAUAAGGUGCUGCGCUAUAAGCUCUGCUCAUACUGCAGGUGUCUUGAAAAACCAAUGAAUAAUGAUUGCGAACUGUCAUAAAAUGAAGGCAAUUGCGAUUUUAAUCGUAAAUUUUGAAUAACCUAGUAAUAAACCUCGUUGUCCUGUCUUACCAGUUUUUGUUUCUCAUUCAUUCUCGUUUUUUUCUGAAGAUUCUUCUUACAAUGGUCAAGAUACUUCAGGGUGAGUGAAAAGAAAAAAAAAGAAGAAUCGCUAGAAAACUUAAUAGACCAGAAAAAAUUAUCUCAUAUCGUCUGCGAGGUUCUCAUACAUCUUGAUCUCUGAUCAUCGAUAAAAAUCGAUCGGCAUGUUUUACCCGAUUUGAUCAAUUCGAUUAUCUAUUACAUAGUCAUUAUUCACAAAAAUUAAAAAUGGGUAUCAUUUUCGUUUUUUUAAAUUCCUCAUUCACACGUAUCUCACGUCUCUUUGGUACGGUGGCGGUGAAGCGCGGGGAGACGCGCGUUACCGCGUGUAAUAUAAUAUCGAUUGACUAAAGCUGAUUGUGUAAUUGUAAUUAAGGCAAUCUUGUAAUCGUAAGUCGGUAUAAUUAAUGAACCAAAGUCGUGUGCUGACGCUCCGCGGAGUCGCGCCUAUAUAUCUUGCUGCACGAUCGCCGGGUAGAUUCAUUCAAUACAUAGACAUAUGUAUGGAUAAAUUUAUAUACGGAUACACACACACCUGCGUGGCUAUAUACCUUAACGACGAUGCCAAAGGGUGGUUUUUGGGACGGAAGCGAUUUCGACGGAACUGCAGGAAAAACGGUAUAAAGUCGACGCGACUACGAUAACAUCGACGCAUCGACUACACGAGGUAAUUCGGCACAAAUAUAACACGAGGUAAUUUAUCUCGUGGUAACGGAAAAUCGUAAGGAAUGAGAAAAAAAAUAAAUAACUCAACCACGUUGUCAAAAAAUUCCAACGAACAAAUACGGUCACCGAAAAAUUCUAUGCAAAAAAAUACACGUAUGAUCAGAGGAUACGUAAUUAAAUCUAAAUUCCAACAUUUUACAACUCACGUUUACAUGGGUGAUAUGUACGGAGAUUUGACGGAUUCGGCCGUGGGUAUACACUCCGUAUCUACAUGGGUAUAGGUACAUACGUGUGUACCCUAUGUACCGUGUAGGGUUGCCAGGGGAUACGUCACGGAAUAAAUGACUGCUUGCACCGGUUUGUCAGGGUUUCGGUGUGUAUAGGCAAAUAUAUAUAUAUAUGCGCCAUGUAUAGAUAAAAUUUAUAUAUAGGUAUUUCGAAGGAUCUCAGCUGCUACUGCGGAGGACGGAUUCCCGAUUUUCACGCGAAUUCCGAGCAGCGGAAGCGGCAGCAGCAGCAGCGGCGGCGGCAGCAGCAUUUAGCCGUGCGAACUGUAAUUGCAGGGGGUAGAGUAGUUCGAGGGACACGCCUUCGAUUAAAAAUUGUCGAAGAUCAAUCGUUGCAUAUACGUCGUACCAUAUAACGCGGGGAGACACAUAGAUCUGUACACACGUGUAUGAAAAGAGUUUUUCCCGGCGCAGCAGAGCCGCGGAAUUCCGGCUGAUUCGCGGUCUACUUCAAACCGUAGCGGCGGCGUGGCGGUAAAAAACCAAUGCAGUGAAAAAGAGGGGAAGAAUUGAAGAAGAAAAAAAAAAAAGAAAGAAAUAAAAACUAGGAGAGUUGAAAUAAAAAAAUAAAACAUAAAACAUGAAAAAAAAAAACUGAAAGAAAAGGAAGCAGGAGAAAAAAAGCGCGCCGGGUGCAGAGGGGAUGAAAAAGAGAAACUAACUCUCGACGACGCGCCGAGUCGACUCAAGUAGAGAAAACCGAGAGCGAAACUCAACGAGGACGAAUUACGAGCAGGAAGAACGACGGGGAGAGCGAGAGAAAGAGGGAGAGGAGAAAAAAAACGAAACAAAAGGGUAGAGAAAACGGUGGGUGAAAGAGAGAGAGAGAGAAAUCGUGAAACAUGGGGAACCCGGGUGGUAACCGAUAAAUUUCAAACAAAUGAAAAGAAAACAGUGCCUGGAGGGCGAAGAUAUCCUUAACGUUUCAAAGGUUAAUUGCGACUAUUUAUAAGCGGUAAAAGACACCGAGCUAUUUUACACUUAUACUAUAAAUUUCAAACCAGAUAAUAUACAUAUGUAUGUACAUACAAGCGAUGCAUCACAAGUUGUAGAAUAGCAAUUUGAAACAUCGUAAGAAAAGUCCCUCGCCAAGGGUUGUUGGGGAUGCGUUAUCUUUGAUCGCAUAUCUCUUUGUUCCUUGUCAUAUUUCACGUGAUCGAUAUGAAAAAACGUAGCGAAAAGAUCGUUCGACGGAAAUCAUCGAAGAACUAAACAGAAAUAAGGAGGGAUGUAAAAAUUUCGUUUUCGAAGGGAUGAUUCAUGGUUUCAUGAUUGUUACCAUUCGAUUUCCACUGGACAUUCGAUUUUCCAAAUUUUCUCGACCCGAAAUGGCCGCUGAGUCGCAAAACGAAGUGCAAAGGAUAACCGUCCGGAAAAAGGUAAAAAAAAAAAAAAAAAAACCAGAAACGUUGAUACGCGAGAUUUAAUUUUGACGGAGGGAGGAACUCGGUGACCAAUGACGAACCCACCGCGUUCCUAAUUCCCCUCACAAAAUGUUCGGAAGUAUAUUGGAGAGAGGAAGAAAGAUGGGAGAAGUAGCUAUAGGAAGCGAAAGAGCGAAGAAGAGGGUGAGAACGAAAAAAGGAUGAGAUGAAGAAAAAAAAAAAAUGAAUGUCGGGCGGUCAAGCGGGGGUCGUGGGGAAGGAGACGAAAGGAAAUUCGUCGAAGAUUGAGAAGGAAUCCCCGAAUAUACAUCUCUACCGAAAAAGCUAGAAAAUUUUUGGGCCUCGUCGGGGAGACGGCCGUACGUGUAGUUGCGGAAGAAGCUCAACGCGAUCACUGUGAGAAGACAUGAAGAAAUGAAAAA